rnacentral:sRNA from 1 species
GCCAGGUGUGGUGGCACACUUCUGUAAUCCCAGCUGCUCGGGAGGCUGAGGCAGGAGGAUGGCGAGUUCAAAGCCAGCCUCAGCAACAGAGAGGUGCUAAGUAACUCAGUGAGACCCUGUCUCCA